GUCAGAGAUCGCAGCAUCUGAGGGCCUCUUCAAAAGAAGACGUAGUUGAUGAAGGCGUUCUGGAGCAGGGCCAGAAAGACCACGACCAAACAGCCUUGAGAUCUGAGGCAGCGUCUCCCUCAGGUCCCUCUCUAUCUCCCCACACAUCCACCAACCACUGGAACACAUCUCCAAAGUUCUGCCGGGCCAGCUCAGCUUCCCCUCAGAAGAAGUGCCGCCACCUGCCAGAUGAAGGAGCCUUUUGAGAGGCAGCUGGCAUCGUGAUUGGACUGUACUUUGGUCUGUUCCAAUCCAGCUUCAGCUCCAGAGACGGCAGGCGGGACGAGUCAACGGAGGCCAGGUGGACGAAGGCAUGCAGCUGAGUACAAUCCAGAAAACAACAGAGGAGGAGUGCAGGGCCAGAACAACCAGAGUAGCAUCGUAUGUCUCUUAGAAAACAUCAUAGUAUAG